rnacentral:lncRNA from 1 species
UUUUUUGCAGAUUUUCAAUUUAUGCGACUUCGAACUAGCGGUACAGAAACAACUCACAAAACUCUUCAAUCUCCAAAAAAAUUAGAUCAUCGUUCAUUUAACAGGAGAUGCUUCCUGAACGAAUCAAAAACCAAAUUUUACCUUUUGAGGGGUAUCGAAACUAACGUGCUUGGAAACCUUGAGAGCGACGAUGACGGGAUGGGCGACAGCGAGAUGGGAGCGACAGGAAGGAAAAGGGCAAUAGACCUUAGCAAAAUCUAGGUGAGGUGUAGUGAUAAAGAGAGAGAUUCUGAUAGAGAAAGGAUGAAGAACAUGGUGUUAACUAGUUAACUGUACUAAAAUUAUUAAGUUUCAGUGUUUUAAACCUGAACUAUAAAAUAAUUUAAUUAGUUUUUAGUAAAAACAGUUUAGUCUUUUUAAGUUUAAAACAAUCUCAUUAACUGGAA